GCUAGCUGAAAAGAAAAGAAGAUAAGUCAAAAAAAAAGAAGAAGCAGUAUAAAGUACUGUAUUAUGCUGAGCAUCAUCGGAUAGAAAGAUGAAAAUAUUUCGGACACAGUCUGAUCCUUUCUGCUCUUUCUAUCAGUCGAAAGAAGUGCAGCUUCAAUGAGUCUCUUGGCCAAUUUUAGAUUGGCCAAGGCCACCUCACCUGCAGAAAUCC
rnacentral:lncRNA from 1 species